GACGAACCGUGCGAACGUUGUUCGGAAUCACUGGGCUUAAAGGGCGCGUAGGCGGGUUUGCAAGUCUGCGGUGAAAGCCCCCAGCUUAACUGGGGAAGUGCCGUGGAUACUGCGGACCUUGAGGAGGGUAGGGGCAUCUGGAACAUUGGGUGGAGCGGUGAAAUGCGUUGAUAUCCAAUGGAACUCCGGUGGCGAAGGCGAGGUGCUGGACCCUUUCUGACGCUGAGGCGCGAA
rnacentral:rRNA from 1 species